GAUGAACGCUGGCAGCGUGCCUAAUACAUGCAAGUCGAGCGAACAGACGAGGAGCUUGCUCCUCUGACGUUAGCGGCGGACGGGUGAGUAACACGUGGAUAACCUACCUAUAAGACUGGGAUAACUUCGGGAAACCGGAGCUAAUACCGGAUAAUAUAUUGAACCGCAUGGUUCAAUAGUGAAAGACGGUUUUGCUGUCACUUAUAGAUGGAUCCGCGCCGCAUUAGCUAGUUGGUAAGGUAACGGCUUACCAAGGCAACGAUGCGUAGCCGACCUGAGAGGGGGAUCGGCCACACUGGAACUGAGACACGGACCAGACUCCUACGGGAGGCAGCAGUAGGGAAUCCUCCGCAAUGGGCGAAAGCCUGACGGAGCAACGCCGCGUGAGUGAUGAAGGUCUUCGGAUCGUAAAACUCUGUUAUUAGGGAAGAACAAAUGUGUAAGUAACUAUGCACGUCUUGACGGUACCUAAUCAGAAAGCCACGGCUAACUACGUG
rnacentral:rRNA from 1 species